rnacentral:rRNA from 1 species
AUUGAACGCUGGCGGAAUGCUUUACACAUGCAAGUCGAACGGCAGCACGGGGCAACCUGGUGGCGAGUGGCGAACGGGUGAGUAAUACAUCGGAACGUGCCCAAUCGUGGGGGAUAACGUAGCGAAGUUACGCUAAUACCGCAUACGAUCUACGGAUGAAAGCGGGGGAUCGCAAGACCUCGCGCGAAUGGAGCGGCCGAUGUCAGAUUAGGUAGUUGGUGGGGUAAAGGCUCACCAAGCCAACGAUCUGUAGCUGGUCUGAGAGGACGACCAGCCACACUGGGACUGAGACACGGCCCAGACUCCUACGGGAGGCAGCAGUGGGGAAUUUUGGACAAUGGGCGCAAGCCUGAUCCAGCCAUUCCGCGUGCAGGAUGAAGGCCUUCGGGUUGUAAACUGCUUUUGUACGGAACGAAACGGUUCUCUCUAAUACAGGGGCGUAAUGACGGUACCGUAAGAAUAAGCACCGGCUAACUACGUGCCAGCAGCCGCGGUAAU